UACGUAGGGUGCAAGCGUUUGUCCGGAAUUAUUGGGCGUAAAGAGCUCGUAGGCGGCUUGUCGCGUCGACUGUGAAAACCCGUGGCUCAACCAUGUGGUCUGCAGUCGAUACGGGCUAGCUAGAGUGUGGUAGGGGAGAUCGGAAUUCCUGGUGUAGCGGUGAAAUGCGCAGAUAUCAGGAGGAACACCGGUGGCGAAGGCGGAUCUCUGGGCCAUUACUGACGCUGAGGAGCGAAAGCAUGGGGAGCGAACAGG
rnacentral:rRNA from 1 species